rnacentral:lncRNA from 1 species
AAGAACUUAAGAGGAUUAUAACAAGAAAGGAAGCAUUCGGAGUCCUGGGAGGUGAUGCCAGUCAGGAUCGCUGAAUCGCUAAGAAGAGAGAACUUUUCCCCGUCCACAUGUAGGCCGCGGGCAGGGGGUUUCUUUCUCCCUCCCACAUCCCUUCCAUCUCUCUUCCUGAGAAGUGAUGGUCCCGCGCUCAGGAGGAAAGGGACCAGGACAGCUUCUCCAAAGAAGGAAACUUCCUGAAAAGAUGAGUUGGAUCAUGCUGGUUGCAGGAUGAUUACUCCUUAUGGCUGAAACUCCUCAGUGGUUCAUUCCAGCACCGCUCACCACAUGGCAGAGAUCAUCCUCCUGUCUUCCUCUCGCAGGGCAAAAAAAAAUUAAGAGUAAAUUGGCUGGCUCAAUAGACUUCCUGACUCCAGCAAGAUAAGUAUUUACUAUGUUUAUGAAGUUGUUUAUGUAGUGCAAUAAUACAAGUGAUUUAAUAAAGAUAAGACUUCAGAUAAAUAUCAACACGCUUCCCACUCUGCAGCUGGUCCAUUUCAAGCAGUUAAAAUAAAUUAAAAGAUAAAAUACUGCUCACAAAAAAAUUGAUCAUUGUCCAAGGGAAACGUUUAAAAUGGAAAGAAAUUGCCCACUUUCAGUGUACAAAGCCAUAUGCAUAUGUGUGGGGAAUGAACCUCUCUGCAAUCUAGAGAUUCUCUACCUAAAAAGAAAGGGGCAGGAAGCUAUGUUUUGUAGGUGUUUGCCGUAACAAGACAUAAUUAAAAAGUACUUACAGUUUGUAGACAAGUAUUAAUGACUGGUGUUAUUUAUAGAACAAAUAAUGGAGACCUUUGAAUUAGAUAAAAUAAAUGCUAUUAAUUCUGUUAUUUAUCUAUCUUUAUAUACACCAAGGCAUAGCUAGU